UCAUCCUCAACCCCGGGCUCCGUCUUCUUGCAUAUGGCAUCUUCGGCCCGCCCCUGGUCUCAGGGCAGUGCGGUCCGGCCUUUUCCACCGCCCCUCACCCAGCCUCGGGCCCCGCCCCUGCCUCAGGCCACGCCCAUUCCCCAGACUAGAGGUUGGGCCCUUUCUCUUCCCCUGGCGGCUCCGGGCCGCCCUCGCCCGCUGUACCGGUCUUAAGCACUAGCAGGUGCAGCGCGUCGUCCUGCAGGUAGGAGGCCGCGGCGAUUUCGUGCGUGGGGAUACGCAGGAUGAGCUCCUCGUUGUCCCGCCAGAGCCUCACCCUGGCCGUGUCCAGCAGCUGCAGGAGCUCGUCCCGACUGGAGGGGUUCAGUGAGGAAGUCACCCAGGUGAACUCCGCCAUUCAAACCUUUUCUUUUUAUUCUCUAUGAAAUUUCAGUCCCCAAUUUUUAAGUGGACUUAUUUGUUAGCU